CAGCUCCCAGCCUUGCCGGCACCGUGGCUGCGGCUGCCCUGUUGCACCCGUGACACUGGGGCAGAGAGAAAGUGGCGAUUUCUGUGCUCAGUGCUCAGAACAUUAGGCGCUAAGAGUGAACUGCAGGCGGACUUCA
rnacentral:snoRNA from 1 species